AUGAACGCUAGCUACAGGCUUAACACAUGCAAGUCGAGGGGCAGCAUUUUAGUUUGCUUGCAAACUGAAGAUGGCGACCGGCGCACGGGUGAGUAACACGUAUCCAACCUGCCGAUAACUCCGGAAUAGCCUUUCGAAAGAAAGAUUAAUACCGGAUAGCAUACGAAUAUCGCAUGAUAUUUUUAUUAAAGAAUUUCGGUUAUCGAUGGGGAUGCGUUUCAUUAGUUUGUUGGCGGGGUAACGGCCCACCAAGACAACGAUGGAUAGGGGUUCUGAGAGGAAGGUCCCCCACAUUGGAACUGAGACACGGUCCAAACUCCUACGGGAGGCAGCAGUGAGGAAUAUUGGUCAAUGGGCGAGAGCCUGAACCAGCCAAGUAGCGUGAAGGAUGAAGGCUCUAUGGGUCGUAAACUUCUUUUAUAUGGGAAUAAAGUUUUCCACGUGUGGAAUUUUGUAUGUACCAUAUGAAUAAGGAUCGGCUAACUCCGUGCCAGCAGCCGCGGUAAUACGGAGGAUCCGAGCGUUAUCCGGAUUUAUUGGGUUUAAAGGGAGCGUAGGUGGAUUGUUAAGUCAGUUGUGAAAGUUUGCGGCUCAACCGUAAAAUUGCAGUUGAAACUGGCAGUCUUGAGUACAGUAGAGGUGGGCGGAAUUCGUGGUGUAGCGGUGAAAUGCUUAGAUAUCACGAAGAACUCCGAUUGCGAAGGCAGCUCACUAGACUGUCACUGACACUGAUGCUCGAAAGUGUGGGGCAUCAAACAGGAUUAGAUACCCUGGUAGUCCACACAGUAAACGAUGAAUACUCGCUGUUUGCGAUAUACAGUAAGCGGCCAAGCGAAAGCAUUAAGUAUUCCACCUGGGGAGUACGCCGGCAACGGUGAAACUCAAAGGAAUUGACGGGGGCCCGCACAAGCGGAGGAACAUGUGGUUUAAUUCGAUGAUACGCGAGGAACCUUACCCGGGCUUAAAUUGCAACAGAAUAUAUUGGAAACAGUAUAGCCGUAAGGCUGUUGUGAAGGUGCUGCAUGGUUGUCGUCAGCUCGUGCCGUGAGGUGUCGGCUUAAGUGCCAUAACGAGCGCAACCCUUAUCUUUAGUUACUAACAGGUGAUGCUGAGGACUCUAGAGAGACUGCCGUCGUAAGAUGUGAGGAAGGUGGGGAUGACGUCAAAUCAGCACGGCCCUUACGUCCGGGGCUACACACGUGUUACAAUGGGGGGUACAGAAGGCGGCUACCUGGUGACAGGAUGCUAAUCCCAAAAACCUCUCUCAGUUCGGAUCGAAGUCUGCAACCCGACUUCGUGAAGCUGGAUUCGCUAGUAAUCGCGCAUCAGCCAUGGCGCGGUGAAUACGUUCCCGGGCCUUGUACACACCGCCCGUCAAGCCAUGAAAGCCGGGGGUACCUGAAGUACGUAACCGCAAGGAGCGUCCUAGGGUAAAACUGGUAAUUGGGGC
rnacentral:rRNA from 1 species